rnacentral:rRNA from 1 species
UGGGGAAUUUUGGACAAUGGGGGAAACCCUGAUCCAGCCAUUCCGCGUGAGUGAAGAAGGCCUUCGGGUUGUAAAGCUCUUUCAGCAGGAACGAAACGGUCAUUUCUAAUAAAGAUGGCUAAUGACGGUACCUGAAGAAGAAGCACCGGCUAACUACGUGCCAGCAGCCGCGGUAAUACGUAGGGUGCGAGCGUUAAUCGGAAUUACUGGGCGUAAAGCGUGCGCAGGCGGUUUUGUAAGACAGAUGUGAAAUCCCCGGGCUUAACCUGGGAACUGCGUUUGUGACUGCAAGACUCGAGUGUGGCAGAGGGGGGUGGAAUUCCACGUGUAGCAGUGAAAUGCGUAGAGAUGUGGAGGAACACCGAUGGCGAAGGCAGCCCCCUGGGUCAACACUGACGCUCAUGCACGAAAGCGUGGGGAGCAAACAGGAUUAGAUACCCCCGUAGUCC